AACGCAUAUUGCGCUCUUUGGUAUUCCGAAGAGCAUGCUUGUUUGAGUAUCAGUAAACACCUCAAAGACUUCAAUUUAUUUUGAAUUCUUUGGACUUGAGCAAUCCCAACACCAGUCUUUACGGAUCGGCGGAGGGUUGCUUGAAAUGCAGGUGCAGCUGGACAUUCUCCUGAGCUAUAAGCAUAUUUAUUUAAUCCCGUCAAACGGAUUAUUACUUUUGCUGCAGCUAACACAAAGGGAGUUUGACCGUAUUGGCUGACUGAUGCAGGAUUUCACAAGGGUCGGCAACGACUCUUGUAAAACUCGAUCUCAAAUCAAGUAAGACUACCCGCUGAACUUAA
rnacentral:misc_RNA from 1 species